rnacentral:rRNA from 1 species
AGUGAACGCUGGCGGUAGGCCUAACACAUGCAAGUCGAACGGCAGCACAGGAGAGCUUGCUCUCUGGGUGGCUAGUGGCGGACGGGUGAGGAAUACAUCGGAAUCUACUCUGUCGUGGGGGAUAACGUAGGGAAACUUACGCUAAUACCGCAUACGACCUACGGGUGAAAGCAGGGGAUCUUCGGACCUUGCGCGACUGAAUGAGCCGAUGUCGGAUUAGCUAGUUGGCGGGGUAAAGGCCCACCAAGGCGACGAUCCGUAGCUGGUCUGAGAGGAUGAUCAGCCACAUUGGAACUGAGAAACGGUCCAGACUCCUACGGGAGGCAGCAGUGGGGAAUAUUGGACAAUGGGCGCAAGCCUGAUCCAGCCAUACCGCGUGGGUGAAGAAGGCCUUCGGGUUGUAAAGCCCUUUUGUUGGGAAAGAAAUCCAGCUGGCUAAUACCCGGUUGGGAUGACGGUACCCAAAGAAUAAGCACCGGCUAACUUCGUGCCAGCCGCCGCAGUAA